rnacentral:rRNA from 1 species
UACGUAGGGUGCAAGCGUUAAUCGGAAUUACUGGGCGUAAAGCGUGCGCAGGCGGUUGUGCAAGACAGAUGUGAAAGCCCCGGGCUCAACCUGGGAAUGGCAUUUGUGACUGCACGGCUAGAGUGUGUCAGAGGGGGGGUAGAAUUCCACGUGUAGCAGUGAAAUGCGUAGAGAUGUGGAGGAAUACCGAUGGCGAAGGCAGCCCCCUGGGAUAACACUGACGCUCAUGCACGAAAGCGUGGGGAGCAAACAGG